UCAGUUUCCAGUGCCAUCCAAGUCUGGAAACUGGUUUAAGGGCUACCUACAAAUCAGGAUCUGAUUGUACCUGAGUGGCCUAUUAUAUUGGAACCAGAGCUGAAAUAAUAUGGCCCUUUCCAAUAAUAAUAUGGCCCUUCCCAAUUGAGAAAAUUCCAAAUUGAAAUCCCUAUGGACAGUGGGAGGUAUUUUAACCAAUAAGUCCCAUCAGCAGAAGCCCUCACAAAGACUUCUGCCAGUGCAUCAUGUAUUUCUCUCUGGUCUCCCCAAAAUGAUUUUGUGUGGGUUUGGAAGAACCUCCCAGAACAGCAUACAGGUUAAAAACCCAAAUGUAAUCUCCUGAAUCCCCACAGGAAGAGCUAAAAUGGAGGCCACCAAAGGGCUGAAAUUAGCUUAAGCACCAGUGGUGGUAUGAAAACUUAAGAGCAAAAA